CAUAAUUGGACCCGCAACGGUUGGAGGUAUUAAGCCGGGAUGCUUUAAAAUUGGGAAUACUGGUGGCAUGUUGGAUAACAUCCUUGCCUCGAGAUUAUAUAGACCAGGAAGUGUCGCUUAUGUUUCUCGUUCAGGUGGUAUGUCAAAUGAACUCAACAACAUCAUUUCACGAUCCACCGAUGGCGUUUUUGAAGGAGUUGCUAUCGGUGGUGACAGGUAUAAAGAUGUUUCACAUUUACUUGAGUUUUCGGAUUCCUUUCCACUCCCUAAUAUACUGCAC